rnacentral:rRNA from 1 species
AACGAACGCUGGCGGCAUGCCUAACACAUGCCAGUCGAACGAGACCUUCGGGUCUAGUGGCGCACGGGUGCGUAACGCGUGGGAACCUGCACUUAGGUUCGGCAUAACUCCCCGAAAGGGGUGCUAAUACCGGAUAAUGUCUUCGGACCAAAGAUUUAUCGCCUUUGGAUGGGCCCGCGUUGGAUUAGCUAGUUGGUAGGGUAAAAGCCUACCAAGGCGACGAUCCAUAGCUGGUCUGAGAGGAUGAUCAGCCACACUGGGACUGAGACACGGCCCAGACUCCUACGGGAGGCAGCAGUGGGGAAUAUUGGACAAUGGGCGAAAGCCUGAUCCAGCAAUGCCGCGUGAGUGAUGAAGGCCUUAGGGUUGUAAAGCUCUUUUACCCGGGAUGAUAAUGACAGUACCGGGAGAAUAAGCUCCGGCUAACUCCGUG